CUUAACGCUCACUGACGGAGAUCUGCGGUCUGGAAGAAAGAACGAUGUGUGUGUGUGUGUGUGUGUGUGUGUGUGUGUGUGUGUGAGAUUUGUGUCACACGCUGCUGUUAUCACCAUCAGCAGCCAGUAGGGGGGAGAUUCAGCAGCCACUUCUACAGCUAAAUGAAAACAAUGUGGACAUACAUCAUAAUCCAACUACUGUGGCCGCAGGUGGAGCCUUUUAAAAACCGUCCCCGCCGCUGCAGCAGUGACAACAUCUGGAUGAGCAACGUAAAUCCUGCUGUAAUAAACCCUGCCGGCCAGUGGCUCGAUAGAUACAGCGAAUACAACUCCAUGAAAUCCACUCAGCACCUCUGGACCAUGUUACGAACCCGGAGAAAACAACAGUAGUUUCCCAGGAACAAAAGUACUGUACUCAGAAACAAUUGUUUCCAUGGAGAUGAGCCACUCACGGAGGAAGCGAGUUAACGCCAGUGGUCCCGUGAGUAAACUGUGAACACGGCAUUAUCGGGAACAUGACAGUGCAGCCGCUCGAAGCGGAUCAUCCACGGUCAACAACACCAGAUCUUAAUUAGCCAGAGUCGACCUGUGUUUUAUUUCUGUUGCAUAAGAGGAACUCGAGAGUUUGACAGCAGGUCAACUUAAGUUAUAAAAAUGUUGCCGUGCGGGAAUAUCGACAGGAAAGUAACACACAAUAGUUUUUCGAGUGUAUGAAUUUAUUCAUGAGGCUUUCUUACUUGCUCUGCCACGAAGGUGGAGGGGGGACAAUUACAGAAGCUGAUGGGUUCUAUAACUACAUUGUGUUGACAUGCAUCCCUAUCACACGCAUUUUCAGGUAAAAUAGAAUAGACAAUACAGUCUCCAGUCAGUUUGUAUUAUUCAUCAGAAUAAAAACUCACUUCGCUGAGUGAAGGUGAACCCUACGGUCGGACUAUUUCUGCCCCGCGUUGAGCUCCUUCACGUAUCUGUGACCUUGCUUGUCUGCG
ensembl:lncRNA